rnacentral:lncRNA from 1 species
AAAAAUCAAGACUUAAAGAAAGGGAUAAGCGCACACCCACUGGCGAACUUUAUUCAGGGAACUACCGCAUCUCUUUAUACUGCUCCGACGACGAACAUCUGACGAGCCACGAGAAAUUGCAGAGAAGAAACCCAAGAGGAAGAAGAACCAACAUUUAUCAUUCAAACCUCCACACCAAGUGCUAAAAGACCGAAGUCCCAAAUCCUUGAAAACGAGCCGGAAGAACCAAAGACCACCAUAAGCUGACCCGUUGCAAACAAGAUCAAGGAUAAGCACAUCCUUCGAAAUCUCAAAAGAUCCUCUAGAAGAAGGGACCAUUAACACACAUGCAGACCAAAAGACAAGCCUUCCACUAGAAUCCGAGAAACCAUAGGUCCAACCGAGGGAAGCAGAGAGACAGAGCACACAACGAGACUCAACAUAUCCGAUGACUCGAAACCCAUCAAACCAACACCGACAAAGCUCUAAAUUUCUCUAACCAAAUCUGCGGAUCUAGAUCUAGGAAACCAAUAGGGCAACUUUGAUCUUAAGCAAAAAAGAUACGCCGAGAAACAAAACAAAGAAAAACAGGGACCCUCCCUUAUUGACGGUGGCAAAGAGAAACCACAUUGUCGGUCGGAGAACACGAUUUCAUAAUUGGGUUUUUUCUAGAAAGAGGUCAGAGGAUCUAGAGAGAGAGUUUGGAAUGAAUUGUA